AACGAACGCUGGCGGCAGGCUUAACACAUGCAAGUCGAACGCAUCCUUCGGGGUGAGUGGCAGACGGGUGAGUAACGCGUGGGAAUCUACCCAGUUCUACGGAACAACAGAGGGAAACUUCUGCUAAUACCGUAUACGCCCUAAGGGGGAAAGAUUUAUCGGAAUUGGAUGAGCCCGCGUAAGAUUAGCUAGUUGGUGAGGUAAUGGCUCACCAAGGCGACGAUCCUUAGCUGGUCUGAGAGGAUGAUCAGCCACACUGGGACUGAGACACGGCCCAGACUCCUACGGGAGGCAGCAGUGGGGAAUAUUGGACAAUGGGCGCAAGCCUGAUCCAGCCAUGCUGCGUGAGUGAUGAAGGCCUUAGGGUUGUAAAGCUCUUUCAGUGGGGAAGAUAAUGACGGUACCCACAGAAGAAGCCCCGGCUAACUUCGUGCCAGCCGCCGCCGUAAUAC
rnacentral:rRNA from 1 species